UGCAGAAUCCCGUGAACCAUCGAGUCUUUGAACGCAAGUUGCGCCCGAAGCCAUUAGGCCGAGGGCACGUCUGCCUGGGCGUCACAC
rnacentral:rRNA from 4 species